rnacentral:pre_miRNA from 1 species
ACCCUUCGCCGGACCGACGAAGGGCUGCGGCCGCCGGCGAGCCAGAUCUGGCGCCGGCGGCCAUCGCCCUCGCCGGUCCGGCGAAGGGC